rnacentral:tRNA from 1 species
GGGCCUGCCGUUGGUACGGCUUUCGGACUGUCAAUUCGAGUAGCAGGGGUCCGAUUCCCCUCAGGUCCA